rnacentral:rRNA from 1 species
GUGGGCGACCUGCCCCAAAGACUGGGAUAACAGUUCGAAAGGGCUGCUAAUACCGGAUGUGGUGAUGAGGGUUAGAUGCCUCAUGACUGAAGGAGCAAUCCACUUUGGGAGGGGCCUGCGUCCCAUCAGCUAGUUGGUAAGGUAACGGCUUACCAAGGCGACGACGGGUAGGGGGCCUGAGAGGGUGACCCCCCACACUGGCACUGAAACACGGGCCAGACACCUACGGGUGGCAGCAGUAGGGAAUAUUGCACAAUGGGCGAAAGCCUGAUGCAGCAACGCCGCGUGCGCGAUGAAGGCCUUCGGGUUGUAAAGCGCUUUUCUGUAGGACGAGGAAGGACGGUACUACAGGAAUAAGGCUCGGCUAACUACGUGCCAGCAGCCGCGGUAAAACGUAGGAGCCAAGCGUUAUCCGAAUUCACUGGGCGUAAAGCGCGUGCAGGCGGCCUGAUAAGUUGGAUUUGAAAGCUCCUGGCUCAACUGGGAGAGGAGGUUCAAUACUGUCAGGCUAGAGGGCGACAGAGGGAGGUGGAAUUCCCGGUGUAGUGGUGAAAUGCGUAGAUAUCGGGAGGAACACCAGUGGCGAAGGCGGCCUCCUGGGUCGCACCUGACGCUCAGACGCGAAAGCUAGGGUAGCGAACGGGAUUAGAAACCCCGGUAGUCCUAGCCGUAAACGAUGUAGACUUGGUGUUGGUGGUGUAAGAGCCAUCAGUGCCGAAGCAAACGCGAUAAGUCUACCGCCUGGGGACUACGGCCGCAAGGUUAAAACUCAAAGGAAUUGACGGGGGGCCCGCACAAG